UACAGAGGCCUCGAGCGUUAGGCGGAAUCACUGGGCUUAAAGCGUGUGUAGGCGGAGUGCUAAGUACCUUGUGAAAUCCCACAGCUCAACUGUGGAAUUGCUUGGUAUACUGGCAUUCUUGAGCCAUCUAGGGGCGAGCGGAACAAAUGGUGGAGCGGUGAAAUGCGUAGAUAUCAUUUGGAACGCCAACGGUGAAAGCAGCUCGCUGGGGAUGUGCUGACGCUGAGACACGAAAGCCAGGGGAGCAAACGGG
rnacentral:rRNA from 1 species